rnacentral:misc_RNA from 1 species
UUUUUGCCUUGUGGAUAUUUUUGCAGUCAACCAACAAGUUGAUUAACUCAAUGAUUGUCCAUUGUGCUGCAAUGCAUUGUGGCAGACUCAAAAUUUUCUUCUAUAUUGUUAUUACUAUAUAUAUAUAGUUUCCGCUACUUGAUAUUGUUUUAUUUUUACUCCUGACAAAUGAAUAUUUUUCAGGGUAUGAAGGUGCAGCAUUAAAAACAUAAGAGAGUCUCGCAUUUCUGAAUUUCAGCCAAAAUGUGAUAUUUAGCACAGCUUUAUCAUAGCUUUGGUGUUGUGUUCCUAUGGGAUCUUGAAUGGCCAGAUGACAGUCUGGUGAUUUGGGAGGUCUUGGGUGUUAUAUAAA